UAGGCGUAAAUGAUGCGAGUUAAGUGUGGGGGCAUCUACGAGAUGGCCCUGUGCUGUAGGGUAGCCGUUAAACUCGCUGCCUGGGGAGUACGGUCGCAAGGCUGAAACUUAAAGGGAUUGGCGGGGGAGCACCACAACGCGUGGAGCCUGCGGUUUAAUUGGAUUCAACGCCGGAAAUCUUACCGGGACCGACAGCAACAUGAAGGCCAAGCUGAAGACUUUGCCGGAUUAGCUGAGAGGAGGUGCAUGGCGUAGUCGUGU
rnacentral:rRNA from 1 species